CUACGGGGUGCUGCAGUGAGGAAUAUUGGUCAAUGGGCGAGAGCCUGAACCAGCCAUGCCGCGUGAAGGAUGACUGCCCUAUGGGUUGUAAACUUCUUUUGUACAGGGAUAAUUGGCGGAACGUGUUCUGUCUUGCAGGUACUGUACGAAUAAGCACCGGCUAACUCCGUGCCAGCAGCCGCGGUAAUACGGAGGGUGCGAGCGUUAUCCGGAUUUAUUGGGUUUAAAGGGUGCGUAGGCGGUAUAAUAAGUCAGUGGUGAAAUUCUGUGGCUCAACCAUAGGAGUGCCAUUGAAACUGUUGUACUUGAAUUUAUUUGAGGUAUGCGGAAUGUGUAAUGUAGCGGUGAAAUGCUUAGAUAUUACACAGAACACCGAUUGCGAAGGCAGCAUACUAAGAUACGAUUGACGCUGAUGCGCGAAAGCGUGGGUAGCGAACAGGAUUAGAUACCCGCGUAGUC
rnacentral:rRNA from 1 species